AGAGUUCGAUCCUGGCUCAGGAUGAACGCUGGCGGCGCGCCUAACACAUGCAAGUCGAACGGUUAAAGCCCCUUCGGGGGUGCAUAGAGUGGCGAACGGCUGAGUAACACGUGGGCAACCUGCCCCCCGCACCGGGACAGCCUCGGGAAACCGUGGUUAAUACCGGAUACUCCGCCACCCCCGCAUGGGGGCGGCGGGAAAGCCCAGGCGGAGGGGGAUGGGCCCGCGGCCUGUUAGCUCGUUGGCGGGGUAACGGCCCACCAAGGCGAUGAUGGGUAGCCGGGUUGAGAGACCGACCGGCCAGAUUGGGACUGAGACACGGCCCAGACUCCUACGGGAGGCAGCAGUGGGGAAUCUUGCACAAUGGGCGAAAGCCUGAUGCAGCGACGCCGCGUGCGGGACGAAGGCCUUCGGGUCGUAAACCGCUUUCAGCAGGGACGAGGCCGAAAGGUGACGGUACCUGCAGAAGAAGCCCCGGCUAACUACGUGCCAGCAGCCGCGGUAAUACGUAGGGGGCGAGCGUUAUCCGGAUUCAUUGGGCGUAAAGCGCGCGCAGGCGGCCUGCUCGGUCGGGAGUCAAAUCCGGGGGCUCAACCCCCGCCCGCUCCCGAUACCGGCGGGCUUGAGUCUGGUAGGGGAAGGCGGAAUUCCCAGUGUAGCGGUGGAAUGCGCAGAUAUUGGGAAGAACACCGGUGGCGAAGGCGGCCUUCUGGGCCACGACUGACGCUGAGGCGCGAAAGCUAGGGGAGCGAACAGGAUUAGAUACCCUGGUAGUCCUAGCCGUAAACGAUGGACACUAGGUGUGGGGGGAGGAUCCCUCCGUGCCGCAGCCAACGCAUUAAGUGUCCCGCCUGGGGAGUACGGCCGCAAGGCUAAAACUCAAAGGAAUUGAC
rnacentral:rRNA from 1 species